rnacentral:lncRNA from 10 species
CCCCCAUGGAUCUAGGUGAGGACAGGCGCUCCUGCUUUCCCGCCCAAAUGUUGUAUUUUCCAAGCCUACCCUUGCCGGCCACGCCCCCAACCUGGGCCUAUAAAAACCGCCCCCCGCAGGCCCUAGCGGGCAGACACACUGAAGUCGCUAGACAUUUGAGGAACACAUCCGGGGAAGAAGACACAGGUGGCUGGUCAUGGAGAGCCCGCUGGGGGAAGAGCACACAGACAGGCACCGGCAGGCCAUUGACCAGCGGGACAAGGUGGGCUCAAUGUCAUCACAAGGGUGCUUAAGAGGGAAAGAGGAAGCCAUGAGGGUCAGAGUCAAAGGAAGACUUGAAGAUACUACACUGCGGACUUUAAAGAUGAAGGAAGGGGCGAAAACCAAGAAUGUGGGAAGCCUCUAGAAGCUAGAGAAGGCAAGGAAACAAAUUUUCCACUAGAGCCUCCAGAAGGAACACAGCCCUGCUGACCCACUGUAAUGUCUGACCUCUAGAUGUGUAAGGGUAGUAAGACUGAAAGUCUCAGAAAGGCACUGUUAAAUUCUUAUUCCUCAACUAUGCAACUCAAAACUGGGGUCCUCAGCAGUGAGCGAGGGGUGAGAGAAGACACUGUAUAAACAUGGCACAUCCUCCUGGAAAGUCAACUUUACUCAAAGGCUGCAGGCCGUAUUAUGCUAAAUCAAGGAUACGGGGAGAUAAUUAACAUAGCAACUCUGGCAAUUUUAAUAGGUUCUUACACACAGUGACAGCUAGCAGAGUCUAAAAUGCUGACAUUAUGACUUAGAGAUGUGAUAAAGAGAAACAUCUAUUGCAUUUUCUGGCCCUGGAGCCAGACUGUCUGGGGUUUGAAAUCAGCUCCUCCACCUACCAGCUAUUGACCUCAGGUUGGGAACAUGACCUAAUGGUGUGCUACCAUGCAGCUCUUUCCAGCUCCAUGUUCAGUGACUUCAUAUUGGUUUCCACUUUUGCAUCUUGCUCACCUUCUCUUGCCACCACCAUGUAUGUCUUUAUCAGCAGCCUGAACAUGGACUAAU